rnacentral:rRNA from 1 species
AGGUGGAAGUGUGGCGACACAUGGAGCUGACGAAUACUAAUAGAUCGAAGACUUAUCCUAAUUU